rnacentral:lncRNA from 10 species
GGUUGAUUCCAUGUCUUUGCUAUUGUGAAUAGUGUUGCAAUGAACAUAUGUGUGCAGGUGUCUUUAUAAUAGAAUGAUAUAUGUUCCUUUGGGUAUAUAUCCAGACUAAGCAAUUAGCACCUACUUUCACACUUGGAUUAGUAGGUUUCUUAGCAUAAUUGAAAACAGGCUGACUAAUUAAUGGUAGAAAGUGGAAAGAUGUACCAAGUACUAUAUGUUCUUAACAAGUGUUUGAGCAGAAUAAAAGAUGGGCAUCUUUAGUACAUCACCUUUAGUAACAUGAUCACUGAAACAAAGAAAACUACAAUUUACAUGUUCAAAGUACGUAAUGCCACGGCAACAGUUAGACCUGCAGUUCGUUAUGGUAUAUAAUCAUUAAGAGGUCUUCAGCCGUCCCUGAAAAUAGAUACAAAAAAAAUUCACAGUGGUUGCACAAACUCCCUAC